CGAAUCGAAAACGGCACUGUGAGCUAAUACCUAAACCCUGUCUUCCCGCUUUACUUCCUCCAAGGUUUGAGCUUCGAUUAGUAAAGUUUUUCGAUUUCCUCUCUCCUUUUAUUAUUUGCUAAUGGCUUCAGCUUGCAAGAGCUUCAUCAGUAGAUCAUCCUCCUCCAUCAAAUCCGCCUUUAAAACCAACGGUCCAAAAUCCCCAUUCUCAAGAUCUGCCGCUGCUCCCUCCUCCACCCGAUCACCUCUCCCCUCCCAAUCCACCUCUCCUCUUCGCCGUUUCACUUUCUCCAGGUGUCCUUCGGAGCUGGGAUGUGCGCAUUCACUGUUGCCGCUGCACAGUGCGGUGGCGGCGGCGAGGCUGUCGUCCUGCCUGAGCUCAACAUCGAGGAGUUGCCGGGCACUUUCUCAGGGCACAUAAGUUCAAUAUGCUUGAAAGAAAUAAAGUGGGAAUUUACAGUGACAGGCUCAUCUUCAUUCUCAAAUGGAAUUGAUGGUACGUGAGACGUUGCUGUCUUCAGAAGGCGAAGCCUGUCUUCUAUUUUUCAGUUUUGUUUGACGUUGAUUUCAGUGGGAAACCAGUUUUAGAUGAUCUUAGUGACGUUUUUAGUGUUAUGUUUAGAAGUUCGAAAACAGAUAUAAUAUACAGCAUUCAUUAAUUUGCUUGCACUCAAUUGUUGGUUGGAGUUUAAUGCUAUUAUCAAUGCUUUAUUUACA